UACGAAGGGGGCGAGCGUUGUUCGGAAUUACUGGGCGUAAAGGGCGCGUAGGCGGCCGUGGAAGUCAGGCGUGAAAGCCCCGGGCUCAACCUGGGAAUUGCGCUUGAUACUCCGGGGCUUGAGUUCGGGAGAGGAGAGUGGAAUUCCCAGUGUAGAGGUGUAAUUCGUAGAUAUUGGGAAGAACACCGGUGGCGAAGGCGGCUCUCUGGACCGAGACUGACGCUGAGGUGCGAAAGCGUGGGGAGCAAACAGG
rnacentral:rRNA from 1 species